GCAGAGGUCCUGAAGAAGAUAUGACAGCAAACGAGGAAGGAAGAAGGAAAUAGGAAUAGGAAAGAUGGAUGGGUUGACCGAGACGAAGCCAGAGACACAAAAAGGAAAUGAAUACCCCACGGUCACAAGAAACCAAAGAUGAGAUAUACGGUGACAUUAUCAGAAGGCAGAGAAUGGAAGACAAAAGACAACUUAAGCCAUUUUCUGACAAAGUAAAAAAAAGAAGAAGACCCCCCCAAAUCCAGAUAUUGUAUUUCUAUUUUCUUAGAAGCUCCUUAUUCCAUCCAGCCAUGGAUUCAUAGAUCCAGGAGGCCUGAGCAUCAGUUUCCAUCUACAUGAAGGUGUUACUGCUGCGAGAGAGCUCUCUGCCCUUUCUGCCCAGUGAUGGUGGAUCAUGGGAUCUCAGAUGCUAACUGGUGGUGUUGGGUCAAGCAAUCCACCUCCAGGUUACAGUCGUCCCCACCUCUGCUGGUGGGGUUCUGCCACAACUCAUGCCAGAGUCUCCUUCAAGUGGACUCUAGUACCAGGAGGGCUAAAGCAACCUGGUGAUGACAUUGGACAGAUGGUGGGUUUGUGCCACGUGGACCCUUCUGGCAAAGGAAGACUGCAUAUCUGCGUGGUGAAUGACUGAAUCCAAGGAACAUACUUACGACUUACUUGAUAUAGUUUUGCCUACAGCACAUCCAUGUCAGUGCCUGCCUGGCCAGUCGUCUGCCAUAGGCACUUUUUAAAAAAGUGAAUGAAUCAUCUCUAUGCAUUACUUGGGAGCACACCUUCCAGUAUGCAGCAGGAUCUAGAAUCACAUAGGAUAAAAGGAUCUGGGCACAUCUGUGAAGACAUUUUUGGAUUGGGCUGAGAUAGGAAGACUCAUCCUGAAUGUGGUGGCACCAUUCCCUAGGCUGGAGUGUUGGACCGAAUCAAAAGGAGAAAGU
rnacentral:lncRNA from 1 species